rnacentral:rRNA from 1 species
UACGGAGGGUGCAAGCGUUAAUCGGAAUUACUGGGCGUAAAGCGUGCGCAGGCGGUGAUGUAAGACAGUUGUGAAAUCCCCGGGCUCAACCCGGGAACUGCUUCUGAUACUGGCGGACUUGAGGCCAGUAGGGGUCACUAGAACUGACGGUGGAGCGGUGAAAUGCGUAGAUAUCGUCAGGAAUGCCGGUGGUGAAGACGGGUGACUGGGCUGGUUCUGACACUGAGGCACGAAAGCGUGGGGAGCGAACGGG